GCAGCUAGUAAUAUACCGCUCUGGGCACUAAAAUUAAUAGAUUUAAACCUACGUCGCAUGGCGGUAGCUGAAAUAUUCAGGGGAUCUUAUGCCAUAAUUGAUAACCACCGAGAACAUCGACAAUAAAUUAAAUUUUACGUACCGUCGUCGUCAGAUAAGCUAAGAUAGCUUAUCAAAACAUAGAAGAAUAGAAAAUGACAGAUCAAGGUGUAGACUACUUUGUUGCGGCCACGAGAUACUAUGAUAGCUAUUCUCUUAUGAAGGUUUUAACAUCUUAAAGUGAAGGACUUGAAAGUAAUAUGUAUUAUAAAUACUGUAUGAAUUCUCUUCAUCUGUGCACAA
rnacentral:rRNA from 1 species